GAAUUGGUGAUGCCUGACUUCUGAAAGGUCCCACAGAUCAUUAAGAAGCUGCAGUAUUUAUUUGUGAAGCAAGUGGUGAAGCACGUUUUCAUUCAGUUGCAAGCUCAGAACAUUUUCAUCAAGACGUCAAAGAAAACUAAACUGAGGAAUGGAUGAUCUGCCUAGAAACCACCACUGUGCAAUGCCAGACUUACAAGAUGAAUUAUUUCAGAGAAACAAAAGAAAGAUGUUUCUUCAAGAAGAAGAAAUAUUUUGAUGAAUUACUGUGGUUAUCAGAGGAAAUAUCACUUCCAUUAGUACAAUGUAUGUGUCUGCAAUCUAACAAUAAAGGAUACAGAAUCCAACAAUACAGAACUGCUUUGUGUGGUUCUGAUUGUGGGUCUUUAAGGUACUGCCACUGUAAAAUGAAACAACGUGUGACGGAAUGGAGUAUGAAAAAGCAUUCUGGAGAGGAAAUGAGAGGGUGCCAGGGAGGCUUUCAGGAUUAA
rnacentral:lncRNA from 1 species